rnacentral:rRNA from 1 species
GACGAACGCUGGCGGCGUGCCUAAUACAUGCAAGUCGAGCGGAAUGAUGAAGAAGCUUGCUUCUUCUGAUUUUAGCGGCGGACGGGUGAGUAACACGUGGGCAACCUACCUUGUAGAUUGGGAUAACUCCGGGAAACCGGGGCUAAUACCGAAUAAUCCAUUUUGCUUCAUGGCGAGAUGUUGAAAGACGGUUUCGGCUGUCACUACAAGAUGGGCCCGCGGCGCAUUAGCUAGUUGGUAGGGUAAUGGCCUACCAAGGCGACGAUGCGUAGCCGACCUGAGAGGGUGAUCGGCCACACUGGGACUGAGACACGGCCCAGACUCCUACGGGAGGCAGCAGUAGGGAAUCUUCCACAAUGGACGAAAGUCUGAUGGAGCAACGCCGCGUGAGUGAAGAAGGUUUUCGGAUCGUAAAACUCUGUUGUAAGGGAAGUACACGUACGAGAGUAACUGCUCGUACCUUGACGGUACCUUAUUAGAAAGCCACGGCUAACUACGUG